rnacentral:tRNA from 97 species
GCGAUUGUGGCGAAGUGGUUAACGCACCUGAUUGUGGUUCAGGCAUUCGUGGGUUCGAUUCCCAUCAGUCGCCCCA